rnacentral:rRNA from 1 species
UACGUAGGGGGCAAGCGUUUGUCCGGAUUUAUUGGGCGUAAAGAGCGUGUAGGCGGCCAGACAGGUCCGUUGUGAAAACUCGAGGCUCAACCUCGAGAUGUCGAUGGAAACCGUCUGGCUAGAGUCCGGAAGAGGAGUGUGGAAUUCCUGGUGUAGCGGUGGAAUGCGCAGAUAUCAGGAGGAACACCGAUGGCGAAGGCAGCUCGCUGGGACGGUACUGACGCUGAGGCGCGAAGCGUGGGGAGCGAACAGG